GCCGGUGCUUCUCCACUAUGCGGCGCGUUUCGGUUGGAUGCUCUGGCGUCGUGUAGCUCGAUGGGGACUCUGGUGCCGGGGUUUGGUCUGGUGCGUGGUUUGGCUAGGGUUUGUGGAAUUGGCGAGAUUUAGGUGUGGUCCCAAAUAAUUAAUUACUGUGGUUCGUGGCUUCGUGCUACGGAUUUUGGGUUCGACUUGGGCUGCAUGUUUGUGCAAUUGGGAGCGUUAGCUUUUGGCGCUUUGUAAUGCGUGUGGGUUAGUAAAUUUCUCUGGCUGACACCCUCUUGAUUCUCUUUAGGUGAACGCAUGAUUAUGGCAUAUCAACUUGUAUUA